rnacentral:rRNA from 2 species
AGUGAAGCGGGAUGAGCUCAAAUUUAAAAUCUGGCUGGUUUACUAGUCCGAAUUGUAGUUUAAAGAAGCGUUUUCGGUGGCAGUCUCGGUAUAAAUCCUUUGGAAUAGGGUAUCAUAGAGGGUGAGAAUCCCGUCUUUGACUGAGAAUUUGCUACUAUGUGAUACGUUUUCAAAGAGUCGAGUUGUUUGGGAAUGCAGCUCAAAAUGGGUGGUAAAUUUCAUCUAAAGCUAAAUAUUGGCGAGAGACCGAUAGCGAACAAGUACCGUGAGGGAAAGAUGAAAAGAACUUUGAAAAGAGAGUUAAACAGUGCGUGAAAUUGUUGAAAGGGAAACGCUUGAAACCAGUCAUGUAGUUGGAAAAUCAGUGUUCAAUUGGAGGGAAUGGGGGAGGUGUGGACCGCAAGGCUGCUCUUUUCUAUAUCUCUUUUGUUGGGCAUGCACUUUUUCUUCCGCAGGUCAACAUCAGUUUCUUUUGCUGGACAAAACUCUUGAGAAGGUAGCAGCUUAGGCUGUGUUAUAGCUCUGGAGCGAUACAGUGGAGGGGACUGAGGUUUUCGCAGCAUGUGCUCUCGGGCAAGGCCGGUUGGGUGCUAUGGGAUCGUUCGGGGUACAAUACAUGUAUUUUGCUUCGUGUCUUUUCUAUACUCGCUUAAUUGUGCUCU